CAAUAGCGUAUAUUAAAGUUGUUGCAGUUAAAAAGCUCGUAGUUGGAUUUCUGAUCGAGACAUCAGGUCGGGUCCGAGAGGAACAUGUACUUUGAUUUUGUUUUGAUCAUCCUUGGGGAGAGCAUUUCUGGCAUUCAGUUGUCGGGAUUGGGAUCCUCAUCGUUUACUGUGAAAAAAUUAGAGUGUUCAAAGCAGGCCUCGGCCUCUGAAUACAUUAGCAUGGAAUAAUAAGAUAGGACUUUGGUGGUCUAUUUUGUUGGUUUGCACGCCAAAGUAAUGAUUAAUAGGGAUAGUUGGGGGUAUUCGUAUUCAAUUGUCAGAGGUGAAAUUCUUGGAUUUAUGGAAGACGAACUACUGCGAAAGCAUUUACCAAGGAUGUUUUCAUUAA
rnacentral:rRNA from 1 species